rnacentral:rRNA from 1 species
ACAGAGGGUGCAAGCGUUAAUCGGAGUGAUUGGGCGUAAAGGGCGCGUAGGCGGUACGAGAAGUUAGAAGUGAAAUACCAUAGCUUAACUAUGGGAUUGCGGCUAAAACUGACGUACUAAGAGUAGAGGAGAGGGGAGUAGAAUUUCCAGUGUAGCGGUAAAAUGCGUAGAUAUUGGAAGGAAUAUCAGUGGCGAAAGCGACUCUCUGGACUCAAACUGACGCUGAGGCGCGAAAGCGUGGGGAGCGAACAG